GUAACUGGAAGGAUAAUUGAAUCUACUGCAUUGAAUUCCAAAGUAACUGGAAGCAUAACUGAACACCAGCUUCAGCAGAGGGGAGGAGAAAAAGGAAGAAAGUGUAUCAUCUGCCAUGCUGUGCUGGACGAUGAUGCAGGUGAAGUGGUGACUGUCCUGAAUCAGUGCCUGGAAGCAGUCAUGGUCUGGAUGAAACUGGAAAAGUUGAGACUCAAUCCAGACAAGUCAGAAGUUCUGUUGGUCGGUGGUUCCUCUGCCCAGUGCUUAAGAAGAGCUCUGUAAUUCCAGCUUGGGCUUGAAGUGGGGGAAAUGUUAGGAGGUGAGAGCAAACACUCCUAUUGGGUGUGGCAUCUGAACCCACCCAAGUCUUGUUCCUGCCCCAUUUAUCCCGGGAUUCUACCAACUUCUGUCACCAAGAUUUGAAGCUGGAUGGAAGAAAAUAGAGUCGUAGUAACACGACAUAGGAACUGAACUUGGACCGUUUCAGAUGACAGUGGGGCUGGGAGCAUGCAUUCAAUGGGAAUCUCUGGUUCCUGGCAUACUGACUUUCAGGCAGUCAUGUGAACCUGCCCACUGAGUAUGCCUCCUUUUCAGAGUCAAUUAUUCAUGUUCUAAAUUUUGAAUUGCUGUUUAAAUAUUUUGAUUGUGGCAAUCUUUGAAUGUGUUAAAUUCUAACUGCUUAAUAGUUGGUUUUAUUCUGUUUUUAUUGUGUUUCUUUGUGUAAACCGCCUAGAGCCUUUGGAGUCAGGCAGUAUAUAAAUUUUUUCUCCAGCAUAUGGAGGUUCUUUAUUUUCUGGGAGAGUAAUAGAAACUAGAAAAUGCAGCAACACAAACCUGGCUGAAAAUAAAUGAAUAGGACAGGCACGAAGACAGAAAUGGAGGGCAAGAGAACCAAGUCUAUCCUAGCAGCAGAGUUAAAAGGCAUUGCAGAAUGAGGAGGAGUGAAUUUUCCUCUCCUGUACUGUAGUAAUGCUAGCAGAGAGAAUUAAAGGCCUGCCAAAAGGGAUAUUGUAAAAAGCGAAAACCUCUAGAUAGAAGAGUUAUCUUUACUCAGAAUAGGGCCUCUGUUUAUAUUUGAGAAGCUGAUGCUUUCUUGAA